UGGGAAUUUGGACAAUGGGCGAAAGCCUGAUCCAGCAAUGCCGCGUGUGUGAAGAAGGCCUUCGGGUUGUAAAGCACUUUUGUCCGGAAAGAAAUCCUUGGCUCUAAUACAGUCGGGGGAUGACGGUACCGGAAGAAUAAGCACCGGCUAACUACGUGCCAGCAGCCGCGGUAAUACGUAAGGUGCAAGCGUUAAUCGGAAUUACUGGGCGUAAAGCGUGCGCAGGCGGUUUGCUAAGACCGAUGUGAAAUCCCCGGGCUCAACCUGGGAACUGCAUUGGUGACUGGCAGGCUAGAGUAUGGCAGAGGGGGGUAGAAUUCCACGUGUAGCAGUGAAAUGCGUAGAGAUGUGGAGGAAUACCGAUGGCGAAGGCAGCCCCCUGGCAAGUACUGACGCUCAUGCACGAAAAGCGUGGGGGAGCAAACGGAUUAAUNCCCUGGUAGUCCACGCCCUAAAANGAUGUCAACUAGUUGUUGGGGAUUCAUUUCCUAGUAACGUAGCUAACGCGUGAAGUUGACCG
rnacentral:rRNA from 1 species